GAUGAACGCUGGCGGCGUGCCUAAUACAUGCAAGUCGAGCGAACAGACGAGGAGCUUGCUCCUCUGACGUUAGCGGCGGACGGGUGAGUAACACGUGGAUAACCUACCUAUAAGACUGGGAUAACUUCGGGAAACCGGAGCUAAUACCGGAUAAUAUAUUGAACCGCAUGGUUCAAUAGUGAAAGACGGUUUUGCUGUCACUUAUAGAUGGAUCCGCGCCGCAUUAGCUAGUUGGUAAGGUAACGGCUUACCAAGGCGACGAUGCGUAGCCGACCUGAGAGGGUGAUCGGCCACACUGGAACUGAGACACGGUCAAGACUCCUACGGGAGGCAGCAGUAGGGAAUCUGCCGCAAUGGGCGAAAGCCUGACGGAGCAACGCCGCGUGAGUGAUGAAGGUCUUCGGAUCGUAAAACUCUGUUAUUAGGGAAGAACAAAUGUGUAAGUAACUAUGCACGUCUUGACGGUACCUAAUCAGAAAGCCACGGCUAACUACGUG
rnacentral:rRNA from 1 species